rnacentral:rRNA from 1 species
UAUCUCUGUAGAGUCUGCAUAUCAAUAAGCGGAGGAAAAGAAACUAACUAGGAUUCCCUUAGUAACGGCGAGUGAAGCGGGAAGAGCUCAAAUUUGAAAUCUUCAAGGUUUUACCUUGACGAAUUGUAGUUUAAAGAAGUGUUUUCUGUUGGAGUUUUGGUAAAGUUCUUUGGAAUAGGACAUCAUAGAGGGUGAGAAUCCCGUAUUUGACCAUUACUUCCAGCGUUGUGAUACACUUUCAAAGAGUCGGAUUGUUUGGGAAUGCAGUCCAAAAUGGGUGGUAAAUUUCAUCUAAAGCUAAAUAUUGGCGAGAGACCGAUAGCGAACAAGUACCGUGAGGGAAAGAUGAAAAGAACUUUGAAAAGAGAGUUAAACAGUACGUGAAAUUGUCAAAAGGGAGGCGUUUGACACCAGUGUUGUUUUCUUGAAAAUCAAUUAAAAAAAGUUGGAUUUUGUAUUGUUAAGACCUUAUCAGCUUACUGUACUCUUUUCUUGCUUUUUUUAAUGCACUUUUCGUUUAACAAGUCAACAUCAAUUUCUUUUGUUGUAAAAGAGUCAUUGGAAGGUGGCUUUCACUUCGGUGAAAGUGUUUAUAGCCUUUGGCUUCUGCAAUCGGAGAGAUUGAGGUCUGCAGCGUAGAUCCUUCGGGGCUAGAUACGUAGAUGCUAAGUUAUAGCCUUUUCAUAGACAACUUGUUGACUAUGAAUCAUCAUGUAGCUUACUCGCUUAUGCGCUAUUUUACCUACGCUUAGGAUGUUGACGAUCAGCUGAGCGCG